rnacentral:RNase_P_RNA from 1 species
UGAGUCGGCCGGGUGGCCGCGGAUUGAGCUGCUUCGGCGGUCCGCAGCCUGCGGAGCAGCACGAAAGGCGCAAUUCGAGGAAGGUCGGGACUCCACAGGGCAGGGAGCUGGCUCACAACCAGGCGCCGCGAGGCGACGGAAAGUGCAGCAGAGAGCAGACCGCCGAUGGGCCGGGCCCGGUGCCCGGUCACAGGCAAGGGUGAAACGGUGCGGUAAGAGCGCACCAUCGCCGGGGGCGACUCCGGCGGAUCGGCAAACCCCUCCCGGAGCAAGGCCAAGCAGGGAUCGGGCGGCCCGUCCGAUGAUCCCGGGUAGGCCGCUCAGAUGGAUGGCCACCCCGGCGGCAGCAGCCGACGGACAGAAUCCCGCCUACAGGCCGACUCACCGC